UUCUCACAGGCUCUGUCCAGGUUUCACUCACCCCACCCCGGGGUGGCUGUCGUCAUUGCGAACAUUUCCGGUUUAACUGUGGUUGUUUUUGGCUUCGGCGCGGCCCUUCUGAGGCCCAGAGAUGACGGCUAAUAGGGAUAACUUACGCAGUCCAUGAUGCCCACAACCAUGGACACGCUGCCACACCGCAUCGUCGUUUAUCAGCCAUCUGACCCAAUAGCACCAAUGUCUUAUUUUAGCACAACAUCGCCUCAGUUCCUCAAUAUCUGUCUGCAAGUCGCAUGCAGCGGUUUAGAAUUCUUUUGGGCACUCCUGUGCAGUCUUCGCCCUCAGUGAUCACCAAGAGUAGUCUGAUCUACGAUGAUCUUUUGUCUAACAUACACAGCAUCUGCCUGCGAAUAAGAGACUUACAAACAUCUGUCCUCUGAUGUUUACAUAAGAGUCUGAGUGGGUGACGUAGCGGACCCAGCGCUGGGACGAGCCGGCUUGGACGGGGGUCAGGCGGAGGAAGCGGAUCUGCAGUCCGGUGCAGGUGUACUUGGGCAGCUCGAAGCUCAGACCCACCGGUCCCACCUCCAUCAUGGAGGCUGAGCUCAGACCUGGAACCUCCAACUGGGAAAGAGAACGAACGGAAAGAAGGAUCACAGGCGUUGGACAGACGCACAGACCGCAUACAUGCAAACUCAAACCCACAUGUAAUAAAAGGCUAAAUACUUUGUUCAUGUAAAUCCUUUUCACUGAUUACAUCCAACAUCAACAAGAGUUGAAGUACAUUAGAAACACAUUUUAAAUGGCUCCAAUGACAUAAUACUUCCAUGUCUUCCUCUACAAGAUGCCUGGUUCUUAAUUUUAUUUAAAGUUACAAAAGGAUCUAAAAACGUCAAAUGACAAUGGCACAUCACAGAGGGAUGUAUCCACUACACUCCUACCGUAUACCCCGGGAGAUGUGAAGAGAAAACAAAAGUAUAUGAAAAAUAAUAUUUUAAUAUACAUCACAGUCAGUUAAUAAACUCAGACUUGGAAACAGUCAAGAGCUUUCACGUUGUAUAGUUUGUACUUCCUCAAAGUCCGAAAGGCCGUAGCGUCAUCCAGCUCCACAGGCAAGAGAUAGACUGAAAGGACGUGACAUUAAAAUGGAUUUGGUGA